GUGCUCGCUUCUGCAGCACAUAUACUAAAAUUGGAACGAUACAGAGAUUAGCAUGAACUCUGCAGAAGGAUGACACGAAAAUUUGUGAAGCAUUCCAUAUUUUU